UAAAAGUGGGCCAUCAACACCUCAAACACAUUUGAAUUACUGGUGAAGACAGGCUAGGGCUAGUUCACCUUCCUUCAUAUCCCAUUUCAUCUGAAUUGAUCCUCCAUAUUCUCUUGUCACUGAAGAAUGAAUAAUCCAAACCUACUUGUAAUAAUGGAUGAAAACUCUUAGAUAAUAAACCCACAUUCCUUAGCAUGUUGUUCAGCAUCUUUCACCAUGUGCGUCUCUUCAUGUGUUUCAGCCACAGAGGUUUUCCCAGACGUUUCGUGCUUUGUUGCCUGUCAUAGCUGAUCCUCUGUUCUUGGCCGAGCAUACCUUGCUCUGUCUUUGUAAAGUUCCCCAAAGCCUCCUGUUUCUUUAGUCUGAAGGAACUGUUUCCUUAAAUUUUCA
rnacentral:lncRNA from 1 species